UACGUAGGGGGCGAGCGUUGUCCGGAAUUACUGGGCGUAAAGGGUGCGUAGGCGGCCGAUUAAGUCAGAUGUGAAAUACCACGGCUCAACUGUGGGGGUGCAUUUGAAACUGGUUGGCUUGAGUGCAGGAGAGGAAAGUGGAAUUCCUAGUGUAGCGGUGAAAUGCGUAGAGAUUAGGAGGAACACCAGUGGCGAAGGCGACUUUCUGGACUGUAACUGACGCUGAGGCACGAAAGCGUGGGGAGCGAACAGG
rnacentral:rRNA from 1 species